rnacentral:sRNA from 1 species
CCUUGCUGCGCCGGUACAACAUCCCGCACGGGCCUGUAGUAGGAUCAACUCGUAGGCUUUACGAGAAGAAGAUCUUCGAGUACGAGACCCAGAGGCGGCGGCUCUCGCCCCCCAGCUCGUCCGCCGCCUCCUCUUAUAGCUUCUCUGACUUGAAUUCUACUAGAGGGGAUGCAGAUAUGUAUGAUCUUCCCAAGAAAGAGGACGCUUUACUCUACCAGAGCAAGGGCUACAAUGACGACUACUAUGAAGAGAGCUACUUCACCACCAGGACUUAUGGGGAGCCCGAGUCUGCGGGCCCGUCCAGGGCUGUCCGCCAGUCAGUGACUUCAUUCCCAGAUGCUGACGCUUUCCAUCGCCAGGUGCGUGAUGACGAUCUUUUGUCUUCUUCUGAAGAGGAGUGCAAGGAUAGGUGCGUAGUGGGGGAGCCCAGGGACGGGCUGGUUCUGGGUCCAGGCUCCUGGCCCACUUGCUCCCCUCUUUUGCCUCAGGGAACGCCCCAUG